GACCGGGUCCAGGAUUACCACAUC
rnacentral:siRNA from 1 species